CAGCAGCAGCUUUCGGUCUGCCCUUCCGCUUCCAGACCCGCCGCCAAAACGCGGUUUGGCAUUUUAUCUACAUGCUAGAAAUAAUUGAUGAAGAACCGCAAGCGAGAAAGGAUUGACGGUGAAAGAAACUUCAUCGACUCGAUUUAAGACAUCUGCAACAGAAUUGCAUGAUUGCUGGAACAUAGUGGAUGCUUUCAGAGAUUCUAAAUGCUCAUCAGUCCGAGUCAAAAACGGUUGCGAGCUCGCUGGUCAACUCGCCGAGCAUGGUCUUCACAUUCACAUUCUUCGCCCGAGUAAGGGAACUAAUCUUAUGUAUUAUCACCUAGCGUAUCUAAAAAUUGAUGCAGCGUCCUCAAAUACGACCUGUGUAAAAAAAGAAUUGUUUGCUCUCACCACCAGGGGCCACGUGAGUGAGUGCAGCAGUCCAGCCACGCAGCCGUUAGGCCUGGCUAUUGAUUAUAUACAUAUAGCGACUGCCGUUGUAUGGUUGGCAUUAGCUGGAGCUCGCUGAGGUGAAGCUGUUGCAGACUUGGCGCGAUGGUGUCGUCGGCAGGCCUGCAAGGUGCCAAGGCAUUCAGGUCUGGACACCCCAACGUGCUGUGGCUGCUUCUGCAUGCACUCCCAAAGCCCACCGCUCGCAUUUGGUGCGAAUGUAAGGUCCUCAGCAUGGCAGCACAUUACUUGAGAGCCUGCAUGAUACCUGACCCUGCCCCAUGAGAGGGGAGCUUGGAGGGGAGGCAAGCCAACAUGAGGCACUGCAAGGGCUGGCACCACCGCGCUUAGCUUGUGGUUGCAUUACAAACAGGUCAGGCAACAUGUGCAUACAUGAAUGUGCAAGGGUCUUGCACAUGGGUGAGUGAGGCAGGCAGGUUGGAUGGUUGGUCAGGCAGCACAGCCCCCAACAUGGGGACAUGACACGCCAUUCUGCGGGCAUUGCAUUUCACUGGCAGAGCAGGAUGUAGCCCCGGCCCAUUCGACCGGGUUGAGGGGAUGGUGUCAUGGUUAGAUUGUGUCUUGCCAUGCAAUGAGGCUGUUGCCCAGCCUACAAGGGUGCAGCGCCGGCCUUGCCUGGCGCUGCUCUUUCGUUACCCCCAUACUCGUACCAAACCAACGCAGGACAGACUAUAUGCUGUAACAAACUCUGGUG
rnacentral:lncRNA from 1 species